GGUGUGGAUGUUGCGGCGCUAAAAAGGGGGGAAAAAUCCAUGGCUAAACGCGUUAAAGACUGCGGAGCAGUAAAUAACACGGGGAACGCCGCUAUCUCAAUCGGAGGAGACGCGCAAAGCGUAAAUCGUUAAGUGAAAUCGAAGGAUUAGGGCGAGGAAAUCGAAGGCGGGUUUGUUUGUGGGUGCAGCGCGCGCCGAAAGGCGGCACGCGGGGCCCCCCUCUGCGCUCACCUCCUCCUCCUGCUCCUCAUCUGUCACCUCGCCCUUCCUCACCUACCACUCCUGCUUCUCUUCAUGUCCCCUCAUCUCUUCCCUACGCUCCACGCGCCUCCUUUGAUUCUCGAACGUUGACGCGCCGCCCGUGUGUGUGUGCGCCACUGUCCGUGGUGUGGCAGUGGCUCGUCUAAGUAUGGUCGUGUGUCAUUACAGAGGACGCGUCUCCUCCUCAUCAUCAUCUGCUAUUGUUUCGUUUCACCUUAAAGACUCGCGUGGUUUUAUGCGUGUCCACGCGUAAUUAUUACAGUGGCCCAGAAAGCACUCCACCGUGUGUGUGUAUAUAUAGCGCUCACUAUUUAGACGCAUACACACAGGGGAGGAAUGCUCCAGCUCCAACAACCCACCGCGUGCAACGCGACAUUUGUCAGACAAAUAAGAGGCAGCAACCAUUAAUUCCUCUACGGCGUGUUUAUAAUCACAAGUGCGUGUCAGUGAGUGCAGCCAGUGUGUGCCCAUGCUGUGUACACGUGUUUUGUCAAGUGGCUCGCGUCCCCUCCUCUCAACCCCAACUGCCUCGUGUGGUGGAGCAGCAGCAGCAUCAUCGUCGUCGUCGUGUUUUAUUAGCACGUGCUGCUGCUGCUACUGCUGCUGCCGCCUCUGUAUCUGCCCUUUCCCGCACUCAAUCUUCUCGCGAAUAACUCCCCGUGACUCGCGUGCGACGCGUCCUCCUCCUCCUGCUCCUCUCCCCGCGCUCCGCGGGGCUCGGAGUGGCCGCCAGACGCCCGUUACUAUUUACCAACCAUCGCGGGAAAGGUGAGUUAUUGUAGGAGGUGGAGUGAAGUGACGAGAGAGGCAGCCACGAGAGCGGAGAUGAGAGAGAGGGAGAGAGGACGCGAGCGAGUGAGAGAGCGAGCGAGGAGGGAGCCGCCGCUGCUGAGUUGAGAAGCGAGGCACAGAGAGGUGGACACUCACUCGUUGACCGAGCCCGUGAGAGUGACCGUAAAAAGACGAACGGGGUCGAGACGGGCCGAAGCGGGGUCGCGCAAUGGGCGCGGGCAGGCGGGCGCGCUCGCACGAGGACCGAGGCGGACAGAGACAAACAACCACCUCCUCACUGCACCUCCUCGCUGCAGCGUCCCAGUCCUCGGCUCCACCUUUCGUUCUCAUCCCCUCCUUUCCUCUGUCUGCGAUCUCCUCCUUCAUGAAACCCACCAACGUCUCCGCGAGCCCAACCAUUUGGCGGACGCUGCGGUAGGCAGCGGCGCACACGGUAACAAAACGGCUCAACGGAUUAAUAAUACCAAAUGCUUCUGUCUGCUCGGCACGCCAUCCUGAACUCUUCGAGACCAAACAAACGGCGAAGGUCCCAGCACCGCCAGACUUGAGGCUCGAAUUACUUUCACGUGAAAAGUCCAAAGGUCAAUGGCUCGAUGCUCAAACAUUCUGUCCUGAGAAAAGAGUUGCUUCAGCGGAGCAGCGUUAUCUACGGAAGCCUGAAUGCCACUCGCAGUGUGCAUUGAAUCAAGAUCUAUCAAAGGCAAAGAUCCCCCGUAUAGCCUUAAAGACUUUCGGGGCGAGUGCUGUUUGCGAGCACCUAUGA